CAUUGGUGUUUCACCCCACAUGCCGGAAUGCUGGAGAAUCACUCAGGAGACAGGACCAGCUUAGGAAUCUCCACCAACUUGUUACAGAGGUUUCUCUGGAAAGGCAUUGCAUUCUAGAAACCACCAACUUGAAUCUGCUGGAGUAGAGCUGCAAGCAAAGAAUGGAAAUUUCCAAUUGCAGCAUCAAGGGCUGCUGUUCUGCUGACUGUCUUGCUCAGCCAGGGUCAUCUGCUUCUCUAAGACAUCAAGGAAUGCCAAGCUGGUGCUGAUGUCUGAGUCAACAGGCAUCUAAUAGUUCCCUGAAUCCUGUCAUGUUCCUCCCUAUGCACUACUGCUGAUACUACAGAAGGCUGAUGGUGGCAGCUCCAUGGAAAGCCAAGUGUAAAGAUGUCAGCUUCUUGCAAACAAGGCCACACGUCCUGACUGGCUCUGGGCCAGAGAGAAUGUUCUCACACCUAGG